rnacentral:rRNA from 1 species
GACGAACGCUGGCGGCGUGCUUAACACAUGCAAGUCGAACGGAAAGUCCCUGCUUUUGUGGGGUGCUCGAGUGGCGAACGGGUGAGUAACACGUGAGUAACCUGCCCUUGACUUUGGGAUAACUUCAGGAAACUGGGGCUAAUACCGGAUAGGGGCUCCUGCUGCAUGGUGGGGGUUGGAAAGUUUCGGCGGUUGGGGAUGGACUCGCGGCUUAUCAGCUUGUUGGUGGGGUAGUGGCUUACCAAGGCUUUGACGGGUAGCCGGCCUGAGAGGGUGACCGGCCACAUUGGGACUGAGAUACGGCCCAGACUCCUACGGGAGGCAGCAGUGGGGAAUAUUGCACAAUGGGCGGAAGCCUGAUGCAGCAACGCCGCGUGCGGGAUGACGGCCUUCGGGUUGUAAACCGCUUUCGCCUGUGACGAAGCGUGAGUGACGGUAAUGGGUAAAGAAGCACCGGCUAACUACGUG